ensembl:lncRNA
UUAGUUAGUUAGUUAGUUACGCGCGGCUGCCGCUGUGUACUGAUGACCUCACAGACAGGCAGACUGAAUCGAGUAACGUUUAAUGUGUCUAAAGUGCUAAAAAACAAACAAACAAACACGCAUCCAUGCCGUUUUUGUACUUAAAUCCAAUGUACAUUCUCCAAGUAUCGAUACAAUUGAUUAUGUACCAUUUCAAUCGAUUUGUAAUCGAUAUAUGUCGUCCGGAAUGCCGAUUUGCGGAGCACAGAUCGAUUCAGUUGGAUCGCAGGAAAAUAAAUCGAUUAAUCGAUUCAGUGAAUGAAUCGUUACACCCCUAAUAUAUUUAUUAGAGAAUUUAAUUUAUUUAACACAAGCGAAAAUAUGCUCAUUACCUAAUUUACCUCCUUAAUACAGUUUAAUCCAAGAGUCUUGUUAAUAAGAGUCCAACAUUCAUUGUGUAAGUGGAGUGAGAGAAGGGGGGAUUGGUAAGUCUUACGCACUUUCUGUAAAAAACAACAGGCUGAGCUUGCACUGUACAUGCUACACCCACAUUACUUUUUUUUGCAAAUACACCCUCCCCGGCUGCAGUUAGACGUUAGACCACACCAUUUUUAGAUUGAUGCAAAAGUUACUCGUGGAUUCUUUGGAAGCCGGAGAACCCGGAGAGAACCCACGCAGACACGGGGAAACAUGCAGACUCCACACAGAAAGGCCACUGGGCAGAGUGGAACCCAGGACCUUCUUGGUGUGUGUGCUACCAGGCGACAGUGCUAACCACCACGCCACUGUGCCGCCGAUGCAAUAUCAGUUAAACACAAUUUAUUUUAUAAUUUUUAAUUUUCUCUCCAAAGGGAGACAGUGUGUUUGAUUUCAAAGCAAAUUUAUACGUGUGUAUUUACAACAGGAGAGAGAGAUUUCAGGUUGCAGCCACGUUGGAAUGCAGAGGGCAACGUGGGAGGAGCUACGUUUUAAUGUGCAGCCAAUCUCAUCCGGUUGCACACAAAGGACACACACCGGGAGACUGAGAUGAGAAAAACUACUGAGAACCUUCUCAUUACAGCCGGGGGAAAGGUAAAGGGAGCAUUCCUCGAUCGAUGCUUAAGAACCUCACAGAAUGCACACUCUUCACACACGCCAGUUGGUGAGUGAAGAGCGAAGUCAUUCUCCAGUCAGAAGAUUGGUGGUUUGAUCCCAGACCCGCUAAUCCGCAUGUAAAUGUGUCCCUGGCCAAGACACUUGACCCCACCAUUGCUUCUCUGGCUGUGUCAAAAUCAAAAAAUGCCAAGGGGGCAAAAACGCAGGAGGAGACAAGGGACAAGACACCACAGGAACCACAAGCAUGCAAACACUACAUUCAACAAUGACACCACAAGAGACACACAUGGCUUAAAUACACUGGGAAGGUGCAGGUGAUUGGACACAGGUGGAAACAAUCAGGACAAGGCAGGAAGUGAAGUUAACCCAGGAGCACCAGAGGCAUGAAACUUCAAAAUACAAUACGGGAACCUCCUCAUGGUCCUACUUGUCACGGUGUGGUUCACGUCCUGUCUUAUUUUGUAGUUUUCUGCCACUCGUGUCCCCGGUUAACUUCACUUCCUGCCUUGUCCUGUCAUGCCCUGUGAUUGUCUGAUAGUUUCCACCUGUGUCCAAUCACCUGCACCUCCCUAGUGUAUUUAAGCCAUGUGUGUCUCUUGUGUCACGUCAUUGUCUAUGGUCCUGGAUGCAGGUUUUUUUUUGCUUUGUUGCCUUUCUGACAAUUAAAGUAUUUUUUUGUUUUGACGUCUGCAUUUGAGUCCUGCCUUCCGACGCAUCCCUGACACUACUACCGGUUGCAUAUAUAGAAAGAGAAGACCAUGACUAGAUUGCUGUAAGGUCAAGCUCCAUAAGCCUCCUUUCCUGAAACCACUCCCCCCCUGUUUACCCCCAGCUGAGCCCAACCACGCCCCAGCACACCUCCUCUUAGAAUGCAGGAGAGCCGUGUUCUGACUUCAACAUGCCUCCUCUUAGAAAUCCUCUGGCCUCUACUGUGUGUGUGUGUGUGAGAGAGCGAGUGUCCAUGUCAUCCACUCUCCUUUUUAAAUUGCAUAGCUUCAUUAAAAAACAUUAGUGCAUUAACAAACAAAAUCCUCUCAGCGCGCACAUUAAAAGCAUCUCAUUCCCACCUCGAUGCACAAUCAAGGCCAUAAAACAAUACGUUACAGCUCUGACUAAUUACCAAUGUGAAAACUUUCAUAAUUGAAUAGCGCCCCUUACCCAAUCCCGCUUCGCCUGGGUGUAUUAAAAGAGACUGUUCUCAAUUAGAAUUUGUCAGAGACAACAAAUGAGAUAGUUUUCAUGAAGCGAUUUAUUUUAAGUCAGGUAAUAAGGUGGGAAUCACAGCCACUCUGUUGUUUGGGUGUUCGCUAAUUGAAGCUCAUUAGUGGUGGGAAAACUCUGCUGAGAACAUCACUACAUUAUAUUGAACCCAAGUUAUGAGCAAAAAAUGUACGUCAACACAAAUGAGCAUGUGCAGGCAUGUCUACGGUUUACGAGUGAAUUAGGUUAGAGAUUGACUUUUUUCAUUGUUAGUGUGUUAAGUGCUCUUAAUUGUGUUUGUACUGAUUUACUGUGGCACGGCAGUCGGUUUAUUACUGAUAUACCAAAUCAUAUACAGUAUGUCAAUGCAUUUUUAAUGCAACAGUGUGUUUCAUUUCAAAGCAAACUGUCCUUUAUCCCAGAUAUACGACUGCAGGGUUGACUCCGACCACUUUGAUCAAAAAGUAUUUGAAAAAAAUGUAAUGAGGGAGGAAACCUGUUUUGUUUGAAACAUAAAUGCCAAUGCAGUUUUAUGUUUCAAACAGGAGAGUAGGCUGCUUAAUGAAUAUGACUAUAUAUUUACGAUAGGAGAGAGAGGUUUCAGGUUGCAGCCACGUAGGAAUGCAGAGGGAAACGUGGGAGGAGCUGCAUUUGAAUGUGCAGCCAAUCGCAUCCGGUUGCACACAAAGGACACACCCCGGGAGUUUUACUGAGAAACAUUAUUGAUGUUCAUAUACGGCUGGACCAAGGGACUUCUCUAUUUCACAAAAUAUUAUAAUCUUCAUAUCCUAUUUCCCUUUGUAAUUGUAUUGCUUUUGUUAGUUAUUAAAUACUUUUUUGAACACGAGCCAGUUGACUCAUUAGGAGACUAUGCUGUUAAAUGACUAUGCCUGUGUAUUUUAGAGAUGUGAAAUAGGACAUUUCAAGUACUUGUUCUUGUGUGUUGAGUAGCUGUCAUUAGAAAGAAAAGUCUGUUUAAUGUUUGUCAUUUUUGGGUCCCUUUUUAGGGACCUUGAGCCCAUUCCCACUGAAAAGUACAGUUGGAUGAUGAGAGACAGAUGGAGAAUAACAGUGUUUGAAAUGUGUUAAAUGUGUUACAAUGCAUUAUAACAAAUACAAAAUAGCAUCGGACAAGGACCUCAAACAGAAUUGCUCCUUUUGACUUCAAUUCCAUGAAUAUGUUUUAGAAGACUUAAAAUGUCACAUUACUGUCAAUAAAUGCAUGAAAAUUUAUGCAUGACGAUUGGAGCUUAGUUUCUGCUUCUGUUAUAUGAUGAUGAAAGAUCAUCAUCGCUUUCUGGUCGGAUAGCUAUUAAAACAACAAAAGUGGACAUCAACUGUUACACAGCUCAUAAUUGUAGCUAAUCCACAUCCGUGUAUGCAAGUGUAUCCUCGGUGCUCCAAUUCUUUAUUUUCAGGCUUCCAAAUUACCGGUUAGCUCUACUAUUGAAUGAGUGACCUGGGCAUUCGUUAUGGGCUCUUUGUGCUGCAAUCCCUUUCUUACAAAAACAAAAGAUCUGUGUCUACUGUAGUUUCACAUGCAGAUGCCAAUAAAUUAGGCUUUUUCAUUGAGGCUCAACAAGUCACAUUUUAAGUCCUUCAAAUUGGGAAUGAAUGGACGUUAAAAACAGUGAAAAAGGAAUACAUGAGACGAACAGCUGAAUAUAGGGUGAGGAGUGAAGGAGGUGUGUCGAAGGACGAGCAAAACUCAAAACAAAACAGGAGUUAAAGGGUUAAAACAAAAGGCAGUGAUAAACGAGAAGACUAUCUGAUGAAGAGGAUUGAAGCUAAGAGAGGGGUAACAAAAUACAAAGAUAGAAAAAGAGAAUGGAUUCAUGAGGGAUCUGCGGAGAGGGAAAGAUGGACGGAUGAAAUAGCUGAAAAGGUGUGAAGGGAGCGAGGAGACAUCCAGAGAGAGGAAGUUAUUAUGGCUCAGCGGGAGGCAGAUGAAAGAACUGUGAUAGCUGAGGCAGAUGGAACUCGUCUCCCAAAUGAACAAGUCAGCCUGAUGAGGAAUGCAAAGUGAGGUCAGAUCUUCUAACAGACUGGUAUACAAAUCAUAAGUGGCUGGAUUCCUCUAAAGUACUUUGACGCGCAAAUUCUCGACAAAACGGGUUGUUUGUCAACGUCGCUAACACGACACACAUGGCAGUACUCACAACAAUCCUUGUUCUCAGAUCUGCCACAGCUCUGUAUAUAGGAUAGGCCAAGGGUAUAAAAUGUCAAGAGGUCCAGUUAGAGAAAAUUUCUAGUACCAAAGGUCCGGAGGAUCAUAAUGUAACUACUUAUUGUGAUUAAAUAGAGGAAUAGACUUCUAUCAACAUUUGCAUUUAAUCAAUACACAAACAAAUCAAAUGAAAAGAAAAGCUUGAAUUUCCCCUUUUCUGCUUCACAUUUGGACUUGACAGUCUCAGCAAAUUAUAAAUAACACAGAUUUUAACAAUUGAACAGUUGAAUAUAUAUGUUCACUCUCCCACUAUUUUGGUAAGUGGGAGAAUUAAGUUCUAGUUUUUCCCGCCAGGAUGUUAAACCUGGUCUUAAUGCAUCAGCCGUCUCACUCGUCUUUUUCUCCAAUGUCGCUAUCUUUCUUUUCUUCCUACCGUCUUUUUAUUUGUAAUUGGGCGCUGCCUCUCUCUCGCUACCUUUGGCAUAGGCUAAACUGCUGAGAAGUGCAGUACAUAAACUAUUGAUCCCAUUUAACACUCCAACAAAUCCGUUCUUUGUUC